rnacentral:lncRNA from 1 species
CGGUCCAUGAGCAGCGCCGAUGUGGAAGUGGCCAGAUUCUGAGCCGCCUGACUAGAGUUAGAAUCCCUUUGCCCACGUCCAGCUGAAGCCGACAGUGACCAACGACAGGUCUGCCCCCCUCCUCAGCUGAUGGCCACAUCUGCAGUGCUGCCCAUCUGGUGGCUUCCCCCGCCCUUCCCAUGUAGCCUGUUCUGUCAUCAUCUGUGCGUUCCUGUGUAGAGAACAUCCAGGCCCCGGCUGCCUGGUCUUGCCCCACUUGAGUCUGGCCUGGACUGGAUCCCAGCUGUUCUAGGCAGGGCCGGGCAGAGUGGGGCGCAGGCCCCUGAAGGGCGAGACCCAGUGGCUGGGCUGCCCAGGGCUGAGGGGCCGCCUCUUGAGGGUACACGCCUCUGGUCACAUGGCCAUGGAGCCUUGGGUACCCCUGAGUUAAGGGAGGACAUUUGGCCAGCUGGUGGCUGGGAGGGGAGCCUGGCUGCCCUGCUGCUUCUCCUGCCUAAUAAACAGGCUUCUCCUGC